rnacentral:tRNA from 1 species
GGGAAGGUAGCUCAGUGGUAGAGUGCUUGCUUUGCAUGCACGAGACCCUGGGUUCAAUUCCUCAGCACCA